GCACAAACCGACACAGCUUUGCGAUCUCGCCAGCAUGCAGAGUCUGAUGUCUUCCCUAUAGAUGAUUCCAGAGACUCUGUGAAGCCACUAUUACAAGGUGAGACGCUUUGCGUUGAUUGGUGCUGCUGGACCACACUGGAGGUGCGAGUCCGCCGUGUAAUGGUUUAUGCCAUUACAAAGGAGCUGGCCUCUGUACUCAACUGGACAGGGAAAAAAAAAACAAGGACCAGACAAAGCAAAAAAGGGCAUUUAAAGAGACAGCGCCGUGCAGAUGCAUAUUUGAUGGCCUGGCGCAGCAGGUAGGGGCGAACUCUAUGUCUGAGUUGGUCUUUGCUCAAGCAGUCCAGAAAUGGCUCAGAUAUGCUCCAGAUCGUACGGGUGGCACGCAGGACGCCCAUCAUCCAUCCCCAUCCCGGAGUAAAUAAUAAAAAGUGACGUGAAACAUAGAAAUGUAAAUAGGAAACUUUGUCUUUUAAUAAAGUAUUUUGCAAAUGAUACAUGUCUAUUGACCUUUUUUGGUUUUUUGUUUUUUUUCAAUAAAAAGCAACUGUGCGAAAGAGGUGGAAAAUCAAUACCAUAUCUCAACAGUGUUUCAAUAUCAGAAUCUG